rnacentral:rRNA from 1 species
UAUCAAUAAGCGGAGGAAAAGAAACCAACAGGGAUUGCCCUAGUAACUGCGAGUGAAGCGGCAACAGCUCAAAUUUGAAAUCUGGCUUCGGCCCGAGUUGUAAUUUGUAGAGGAUGUAUCUGGCAAAGUGCCUUCCGAGUCCCCUGGAACGGGGCGCCGGAGAGGGUGAGAGCCCCGUACGGUUGGACGCCUAGCCUGUGUGAUGCUCCUUCAAAGAGUCGAGUAGUUUGGGAAUGCUGCUCUAAGCGGGAGGUAAAUUCCUUCUAAAGCUAAAUAUUGGCCAGAGACCGAUAGCGCACAAGUAGAGCGAUCGAAAGAUGAAAAGCACCUUGGAAAGAGGGUUAAACAGUACGUGAAAUUGCUGAAAGGGAAGCGCUUGCGACCAGACUCGGGCCGGGCGGAUCAUCCAGCGUUCUCGCUGGUGCACUCCGACUCGGCCUGGGCCAGCAUCGAUUUGUGCCGAAGGAUAAAAGCGGCGGGAAUGUAGCUCUCUACGGGGAGUGUUAUAGCCUUCAGUUUAAUGCUUCGGUGCGGAUCGAGGACCGCGCACUUGUCAGGAUGCUGGCUUAAUGGUCUCCAGCG